CUCUACAUGUUAAAAAAAUUACAAUUAAAUAUCAGUAGUCCGUCGCACGUCGGUCGCAUAAAGAUGACGCAAUACGGAAACGUAAUGUAAACAAACAAAAAAAAAAAUUGUAUUCUUCUUUUAUGGUGUCUGUCGACGGUUGGCAAACAACAUCAGGGUGCAUUACCGCCACCCACUGACAUGUGUGGACCUCACAAUGACUCCUUAGGAUAUUAUUGGUACAACUUUGUCGAAUUGUUUUAUUAUGUAUAUGAAUAAUACUGUCACUGCUCACGAUUAAAGACAUGUUUAAAUAUCUCUACACACAAUAAAAUAUUUCCUUUAUUAAAUGUGGGUUACUGUACAGGAAGAAAUCAACUUUUUGUCAAGGUUUAGAAAUGUAUAUAUAUUUACUUCGUACAUCUAUAUUCAAAGGCUGCACCAGUCGUUUAAUUUCCCGUUGACAGUGAAAGCACCACGCGUCCUCUGUCCAAUCACUAUGACCCAUUUUGCUAAAGCACUUUUUUGAACCCAAGGCGCCUUUGUGCUCGGCUGCGGUUCCUCUACGCAAGCUAUCACUGUAAAGAAAGAGAAUUGUACAAUUGUUAACAGACAUGGAUUUUAGUAAUGCAUUGCAAAAGAACGGUCUUCGAUACAAAAAGGCCCUGGACCGAAUCAUAGAUAAGUAUUCGAAGCUUCAGUAUCACAACGGGGGCAUAGAGGUGGACCUCGAAAAUACAAAUACCGCAACAAUUGGUCGCUACAUGGAGAUGGCAGAACUCGAGCUGAGCAAGUUGGAGUCAAAGAGCUCCGCAGAUUCGAGAGAUGAGUCAUUAAGAUCACAAGACACUACAAGAGAUUCCCAGUUGGACUUCACAUUUCAAAGUACUGAAUUUCAUGAUACUCCUGCAUCAACCAGACAAUUGUUUGGAGAGGAUGAUGGAAUGGCUGGAAGUGAGCCAACCCAGCUGACUGUGAGCCUACUGCAUGAAAGUGGGGGAAGCUUUUCAGAGACGGAGAUUCAACCUGAAGACCAAGACGAGGAACUGCAAAUGACACUGAGAAGUCAUAACACUUUGGGGGACCUCUACCCCAGCAUGAUCAGUCGAAUAGAAACGGCCUGGCAUCGAAAUAAUGUGUCUCAGGCUGCUGACGCUGUGCUGACCAAGUACCGCAAAUGGCGAAAGCAUUCAAGAAGCAAUAUCAGCAUCAACACUUCAAUUGUUUCACUGCAGCAUAGCAAGGAAAGGCAGAUGACCAGCAGCAUUCUGCUCCCGGAAGACCUCCCAGAAAGAGGGCAGUACACAAGGGCUGAAUAUUUGCCACGGUCUCCUUUGAAGAUGGUACAUAAGCUGCAGGACAGGAUGGCACAACAGCAGUUGCCUGGAGAACAGUCCUAUUCCUAUCAUGGGAGUCCUUCACGGCCUUGCUAUCCCACUGCAAACGCAGCCUUGCAGAGUUCUCUUUGGAAUAAAAGGCUUUCCCUGUCUGCACACAAACAGCAGGCUGCUGAAGGCUCUGUGUUUGCAUCAGAAAACAAUGCUGUUAAUGACAGACAUGUCUAUAGCUCCCCAGUCAGACAAAGUCCAUCGAAGAUGAGGAUGUUGACCAGCUUCAGUGGUUCACCUAGAUCCUUUUACAGAAGCCCCAAAGAAUCACGUAGAGAAAGCUUUUCAAGAGAGACUGCACAGUCUUCAUCAGUGUCAACAUUUCUGUCCUCCCCUUUGCAAAAACCUACUGGGAACAGGAUACUCUACCCUCAACACUCCAACCACACUCUCCAGCUGCCUUCACUUCAGUCAGCUAGUCCAGAAGGUCGUGUCAGGCUCCGAAGGCAUCUUUUCUGCGAUUCAUCCCAGCCAGUACUCAGUACUUCCCACUCACCAAAGCAGAUCGAUGAAGACUUUAAAAAACUGUACCACAAGUUUGUAUGUCAGAACAAGUCUUUCUAUAAUAUCCCUCCCUGUCGUCUCUGUGCUGAACGCUCUAGAGCCAACCAAAGUCACUCGUCCUCGGUGCUGGCUGCACUGGCCUUGUCACCUCACCGCUCUGUCUUGAGGAAGCGCCAAAGAGAGUCAGGCUCGGACAGCCGCCCCCACUCUAAGCGCUCCAGGGAAGAGUAUUAUACAUACUCCCCAGGCUCCAAACGUCGUGAGAAUGAAGUGCUGGGGCACUGUCUUCCUUCAUCUCAGCUUGAGCAUCAUCAUGACCGUAAACGCAGUGUGUUUCAAAAUGUCGGUACCCAGCACCACUCAGCAGAUGCCAGGAGGAUUCAAGGUCUGACUUUGUCUGGCUACGGUAUGUGAGUGUAGAGCAGCACACAGCUACUGCCACAG
ensembl:lncRNA uncharacterized LOC114853786